UGGGGAAUAUUGCACAAUGGGGGAAACCCUGAUGCAGCGACGCCGCGUGAGUGAAGAAGUAUUUCGGUAUGUAAAGCUCUAUCAGCAGGGAAGAAAACAAUGACGGUACCUGACUAAGAAGCCCCGGCUAACUACGUGCCAGCAGCCGCGGUAAUACGUAGGGGGCAAGCGUUAUCCGGAUUUACUGGGUGUAAAGGGAGCGUAGACGGCAUGGCAAGUCUGAAGUGAAAGGCCAGGGCUCAACCCUGGGACUGCUUUGGAAACUGUCAGGCUGGAGUGCAGGAGAGGUAAGUGGAAUUCCUAGUGUAGCGGUGAAAUGCGUAGAUAUUAGGAGGAACACCAGUGGCGAAGGCGGCUUACUGGACUGUAACUGACGUUGAGGCUCGAAAGCGUGGGGAGCAAACAGG
rnacentral:rRNA from 1 species